rnacentral:lncRNA from 1 species
GUUAGCUUCAUGCUAUGUCAUGAUGUAUGAGAUGUUUCGUGUUAUGCUAAAAUAAAUGCGAAUGUUGUAUGCAUGCGUAUGCUGUGAAAUGAUGUAAUGAAUGAGUUAUGCGUAUGAGAAGUUCUGCUUGGGGACUCUACUGGGGAAAAUAAAUCCCCAUCUACUGAUUGGAGAUAUUUGUAACGAUGACCCUUUCUCGGCAGGGGGUUCUUGAUUCUGUCUGAUGGUAGAAAUAUUCCACAGAUCUUGGCUGAGGAUGGAUGAGAUGAUCAAUCUGUCUGAUGA